rnacentral:rRNA from 1 species
UGGGGAAUAUUGGACAAUGGGCGAAAGCCUGAUCCAGCCAUGCCGCGUGUGUGAAGAAGGUCUUCGGAUUGUAAAGCACUUUAAGUUGGGAGGAAGGGCAGUAAGCUAAUACCUUGCUGUUUUGACGUUACCGACAGAAUAAGCACCGGCUAACUCUGGUGCCAGCUAGCCGCGGUAAUACAAGGGGUGCAAGCGUUAAUUCGGAAUUACUGGGCGUAAAGCGCGCGUAGGUGGUUUGUUAGUUGGAUGUGAAAGCCCGCGGCUCAACCUGGGAACUGCAUCCAAAACUGGGCAAGCUAGAGUACGGUAGAGGGUGGUGGAAUUUCCUGUGUAGCGGUGAAAUGCGUUAGAUAUAGGAAGGAACACCAGUGGCGAAGGCGACCACCUGGACUGAUACUGACACUGAGGUGCGAAAGCGU